GGUAGGCAGCAGUGGGGAAUAUUGCACAAUGGGCGCAAGCCUGAUGCAGCCAUGNCGCGUGUGUGAAGAAGGCCUUCGGGUUGUAAAGCACUUUCANUAAGGAGGAAAGGGUAGUCUUUAAUAGAGGCUAUCUGUGACGUUACUUACAGAAGAAGCACCGGCUAACUCCGUGCCAGCAGCCGCGGUAAUACGGAGGGUGCGAGCGUUAAUCGGAAUUACUGGGCGUAAAGCGUACGCAGGCGGUUUGUUAAGCGAGAUGUGAAAGCCCCGGGCUCAACCUGGGAACUGCAUUUCGAACUGGCAACUAGAGUGUGAUAGAGGGUGGUAGAAUUUCAGGUGUAGCGGUGAAAUGCGUAGAGAUCUGAAGGAAUACCGAUGGCGAAGGCAGCCACCUGGGUCAACACUGACGCUCAUGUACGAAGCGUGGGGAG
rnacentral:rRNA from 1 species